GACUAAACCGCUCCGGUGGCCUAGUGGUUAGAGUGUCCGCCUUAGGUGCGGAAGGUCGUGGGUUCGACCCCUGGUCGAGUCA